ensembl:lncRNA
GUACUUCCAAUGAACAGGCAACAUUUAAUUCUAACUUGUAAUCUAGAAUUUUUGUUCCAGGAUUCAGUGUGGGGGAUGAACCAUAGCGCACUGCAUUCCGUCUUUCAGACCAAUCAGAGCAACAACCAGCAAUCCAACUUUGAAGCUGUGCAGAGUAGCAAGAGAAAGAAGAAACAGAAAAUGGUUCGAGCAGAUCCCAGUUUGUUAGGAUUUUCAGUGAAUGCCUCAUCAGAGCGGCUCAAUAUGGGAGAAAUAGAGACUUUGGAAGACUACUGAUCUUGUGUAGAUUGACCGGCUUUUCCUGUGUCUGUUAACCAUGGAUUCUCCACCUUUGGACACAGUACUUUCUCCAACUUGCAUUUUUCUUCACCUUGCAGUGACUUACAGAAUCAAUCAUCUCAGGCUGCUUCUUCUAGCCCCAGCAAAAUCUUUCUGUCCCACGUUGCGCAGUCAUUGUCAUCUCUGUCAGCCUAUAGACAUGUGGACUUUGCUGUCUCCUAGGUGGGUGGGAGAUAGGAUCCAUUCCCAAAAUGGUUGACUGCAGGCAGCAAGCGUUCACUGUGCUGUCAUUUCUUCUGCUGACUUAUCUGGAAAGUCUACUGGGAUUCUGCAAAUGGUAUCUUCCUUUCCCCGGUCAUGCUUAUCACAUCCAACUUGUGCAAUCAUGGAGAGAGUUUGUGGUUAACAGAGAUUGGUCAGAAUCAAAAUGCCACACAAAUACUGACUUCAGUGCUGCAUCAGGACAAGAGAUGCUCUCCAAAUCCAGGAGUUGCAGUCAUAAGCUAACUUUAGAACUGGCAACAGCAGGAGAGAGUGGUGUGUGACAUGGGAUGGACACCUCAAAGGUAAGCAUUUCAAACAUAGUCCCGAAUCCUGUGAGGCACUCAGCCAACAACCACUAGAGUGCACUCACCAGAUUGGGCAGGAUAACAUUUCCAAUAGUCCAGCUGUGCAUGCUCUGGGGGAGGAAUUUUUAGGCACAAAGUUUAGAGGGUGGAGCUGUUCCUGACUUCAGGAGGGAGGUCUGCUUGGAAAUCAGUGUCUGUGAGUCUCUGCAAAGUGUUUGCAGUCUGUGUGUGUCUGCAUACCCAUAUGAAGGGAUUUAUGAUCUGACUGGACAAAGUUUCAUUAUACUAGUGAAAUUUCCAAGCCUCUUCUACUUUGAAGAGUUUUUAAGAAUUCCUUCUGAAACACUCUUCCUGGAGGAAGAAAUGCCCCAUCACAGCGUUCUUCGCCUGGUCCUGCUGAUGCUCUCUGGAGUCGUGGUCCCUGCUGUUCUAACAGGUAAGCAUCUUUGUUUGAGAUUUACAGUUCCAAAGCACAGGGAAUCUGUUGCUUCUUAACCACCUCCUCUCCCUUUCCCCACAUCUCUUCACUCUUCCCAAAAGAUUUUCACAAGUAACUAGAGAGAAAGUACCACCCCUCAUAGUUCAGUAAGUCAUCUUUGGAAUUCAAGUAGCUAGUACAGGGGAAGGGUUUGAUCUGCAGCUUGAGACAGUGAAUUCUGUCAUCUCUCUUUAAAACGACUACAGGCCUAGUCUUAAAAUAAGAAUGACUGGGAGUUUGGAUUGCAAUGAGCA